AUUGAAAACAUAAUCAAAACAAACGUGUUUUAAUGAGAAAAGUUCAAAUAAGUGAGCAAAUGAAAAAAAUCGGCAUCAGGCAAAAAAAUCGUAUUGGUGUUUCCCUAGUGCAGGGGUUCUCAACUUUUGCAACCUGCCCCCCAAAAAAAGCUGGUUCAUUGAGGUUGGGGCCCCAGAAUAUCUCAUGUGCUUAUCUUUUUGAUAUACAGACCAUUGUGUCUAAUUUUGAAUGCUUUUAAUGUUUUUAAAUGUAAUGCCUUCUUAAAAUUCACAGACACUGCCUCUUCUUUGCUCAUACUCCCACUGACAGGGUGCAGAAUAAUGGAUAAUUUUGUACAGGAGAACCUGAAAGAAUGGAACUUGGAAGUCCUGAUACCAAGCUUUAAAGAUGAACAAAUUGAUGAAGAAACCCUCCUGCUGCUUGAUGAAAAAUCACUAGAAGCUAUGAUAC